rnacentral:lncRNA from 1 species
CGGUUAUGCUGACUCCCAGGUUGGGGCACCUGGCUGGAGGGAGUGCGACUGGAGGGUAGAGGGAAGAGCUCUCUUUCUCUUUCCCAGCAAAACCUGCCCCCAAUGUCACCCAGUAGCUGGAGUCUUGCUCCUUUUCUGCAAUGGCCCCACUUCCUGGUUGUUGUUGCUGUUGUUGUUGUUGUUGUUUGAGAUAGAGUCUCGCUUUGUUGCCCACGUUGGAGUGCAGUGGGCUGAUCUCCGCUCACUGCAAUCUCUGCCUCCCAGGUUCAAGCGAGUCUCCUGCCUCAGCCUCCCUAGUAGCUGGGAUUACAGGCACCCACCACCACACCCAGCUAAUUGUUUUGUAUUUUUAGUGGAGACCGGGUUUCACCAUGUGACCAGGCUGGUUUUGAACUCCUGACCUCAAGUGAUCUGCCUGCCUCGGCCUCCCAAAGUGCUAGGAUUAUAGGUGUGAGCCACCGCACCCAGCCCCCACUUCCUGUUUUAGCUCACCUUUCUGAACACCUUCAGCCCGUUGAGUCUAGACACCAUGAUGUGGCACU